UACGUAGGUGACCAGCGUUGUCCGGAUUUACUGGGCGUAAAGAGCGCGCAGGCGGUCGUUCAAGUCGAGUGUGAAAGCCCCCGGCUCAACUGGGGAGGGUCAUUCGAUACUGAUCGACUUGAAGGCAGGAGAGGGAAGUGGAAUUCCCGGUGUAGUGGUGAAAUGCGUAGAGAUGCGGAGGAACACCGAUGGCGAAGGCAGCCCCCUGGGCUAGCACUGACGCUCAGGCACGAAAGCGUGGGGAGCAAACAGG
rnacentral:rRNA from 1 species